GCCUCCGGGGAAGCCUGGCCCUCCCCCUCCGGCCCUGCUCCCGCUGCAUUCUGGGUUCCUCUCUGACUGUCCUAGAUGGAAGUUGUCGGGGACGAGCCCGGCCCUCGGUGCUCCUUUCUGCCUCCCUGCAGGUGGGGGCGGGGAGGCCCUGCAGCCCGCUGCCCGGGAGGCUCUGCGGCGGAGGCUGUAGCGAAGGCCCCGCUCCAGCCACAGGUGUAGAUCUGCAGAAGGGGCCCGGAGGCCUUUACUUUUCCCGGGAAGAACGCUCGGAGGAGAGCAGAAAAGCAUCUCCCUGUCCUGGGAUGGGCUCACCAGAUGUUGCCCAGAUGUUGGCGGUGAUGGAAAACAUCUCCCUCUGGGAUCCGAAGGCCUGCUGUGACCAUGAUGCAAACGCCUCCGCGGGCUUUGAGCCACUACUUGGCAACAUUGCAUAAUAGAUGGUGCCUUCAGGACUUGAGGCGACAUAUCACCAGCGAACAAAAUCCUAUUUGCAGAUAUUCAGUCCCAUCUCUCUUUCUGAUUCGCACUUUCAUUUUUCCUGCUCGUGCAAAAUUAUCUCAUUCCACAACCUCAUCUACGCUGGUAUACAUAAUCACAUUUUAUGCUGCAGUAUUUUUUGUUACUAUUUUCAAUACUACUUUUAUGCUUUAAUGAGCCUCUUUGGAACUACUGAUCCAUCUUUACGAUUUGGGGCCAUACUACCAUAUGAUAGUCACAAUAAAAUGAAAAUAUAACAGA